rnacentral:rRNA from 1 species
AGUGAACGCUGGCGGUAGGCCUAACACAUGCAAGUCGAACGGCAGCACAGUAAGAGCUUGCUCUUACGGGUGGCGAGUGACGGACGGGUGAGGAAUACAUCGGAAUCUACUUUUUCGUGGGGGAUAACGUAGGGAAACUUACGCUAAUACCGCAUACGACCUACGGGUGAAAGCAGGGGAUCUUCGGACCUUGCGCGAUUGAAUGAGCCGAUGUCGGAUUAGCUAGUUAGCGGGGUAAAGGCCCACCAAGGCGACGAUCCGUAGCUGGUCUGAGAGGAUGAUCAGCCACACUGGAACUGAGACACGGUCCAGACUCCUACGGGAGGCAGCAGUGGGGAAUAUUGGACAAUGGGCGCAAGCCUGAUCCAGCCAUACCGCGUGGGUGAAGAAGGCCUUCGGGUUGUAAAGCCCUUUUGUUGGGAAAGAAAAGCAGCAGGUUAAUACCCCGCUGUUCUGACGGUACCCAAAGAAUAAGCACCGGCUAACUUCGUG